UGCAGAUGAUGGAAGCAAAUAACCUGAGUUUCUUGAUGACUCCCAACCACCAAGAUCGCUGAUGCA